rnacentral:rRNA from 1 species
CGCAGCCGCGGUAAUUCCAGCUCCGAAUAGCGUAGUAUUAAAGGUUGUUGCAGUUAAAAAGCUCGUAGUUGAAUUUCGGGACUAAUAUGUCGGUCGUACUUUGUACGUACUAGCAUUAUUGGUUUCUCCCUUCUGACGAACCACGAUGUCAUUAAUUUGGUGUCGCGGGAAAUCAGGACUGUUACUUUGAAAAAAUUAGAGUGUUUAAAGCAAGCUCGCGCUUGAAUACAUUAGCAUGGAAUAAUGAAAUAGGACGUUUGAUUCUAUUUUGUUGGUUUCUAGGAUCGACGUAAUGAUUAAUAGGGAUAGUUGGGGGCAUUAGUAUUCAAUUGUCAGAGGUGAAAUUCUUGGAUUUAUUGAAGACUAACUACUGCGAAAGCAUUUUGCCAAGGAUGUCUUCAUUAAUCAAGAACGAAAGUUAGGGGACCGAAGACGAUCAGAUACCGUCGUAGUCUUAACCAUAAACUAUGCCGACUAGGGAUCGGAUGAUGUUAAUUUUUUUAAUGACUCAUUCGGCGCCUUUACGG